UACGUAGGUGGCAAGCGUUGUCCGGAUUUACUGGGUGUAAAGGGCGUGUAGCCGGGUUGACAAGUCAGAUGUGAAAUCCUGCGGCUUAACCGCAGAACUGCACUUGAAACUGGGUGUCUUGAGGGCAGGAGAGGAAAGUGGAAUUCCUAGUGUAGCGGUGAAAUGCGUAGAUAUUAGGAGGAACACCAGUGGCGAAGGCGACUUUCUGGACUGUACCUGACGCUGAGGCGCGAAAGCGUGGGUAGCGAACGGG
rnacentral:rRNA from 1 species